rnacentral:lncRNA from 1 species
GAAGCCACUGGGAACACUCCUCAUAAAGAGUUCUGUAGCUAAACGCUUGCCUCAGCUUCCCAACUUCUGCCGCCAUCGAUAAGAAACUUGGCUUCUGUUCCCAUGAGGACCCAGUGCAGGUGACAACAGGGGCCUCCCCAGUGUUCCUUCCCAGCAGNNNNNNNNNNNNNNNNNNNNNNNNNCCAGCGUUCCUGAGUCCCAGUAUUGGCUCUAUGCAGUUCUGUGACCGUGGAUGUGUCACAGCCCCUUUCCCAAGCAGUUUCCUCCCCAGUUCCUUAAGUGGGGAACGUGGUUACAGUUCCCCGAACAAACCCAGUCUCUGAAGACUACAGACACAGCUAACCCCAGGACAUGGAAUUGCUCUCUCUGCUGGGGACACCCCAUAGGUUGGACAGACAUUGCCAAGGUUUCCAUGGGCCAGGCCUGCUGGCCCUGCUAGCCCGGGUUGACAGUGUCCGUGCUCUGCUGAAGAGACUAGAGCCCACAGGAAGUGGAUGCAUUAGACCAGUUAGGAGGCAGAGGCGUCUCAUCAGCUAAAACACUGGAGGGGCGACCAUGAGGACCAGGAAGUUCUGCCUGGCUCCAUGCCAUGUCUAAACACACCCUCAGAUCCGGAUGAGGUGUAGACAGUGUUCUCAGGUUGUGACUACCAAAACUGACUGGAUGAGGUGGCGUAGUCCCCACGAGCUCACCCACACACUCACCCUGGAAGGACAAAUGUAAGAGCCAGGUGGUGGCAAACGGUGGGAUGC